CUCGAUGUCGACUCAUCGCAUCCUGGGGCUGGAGCAGGUCCCAAGGGUAUGGCUGUUCGCCAUUUAAAGCGGUACGUGAGUUGGGUUCAGAACGUCGUGAGACAGUUCGGUCCCUAUCUGCCGUGGGUGUAGGAAUAUUGAAAGGAUCUGUCCCUAGUACGAGAGGACCGGGAUGGACGGAUCUCUGGUGGACCUGUUGUGGCGCCAGCCGCAUAGCAGGGUAGCUACAUCCGGACGGGAUAACCGCUGAAGGCAUCUAAGCGGGAAACCCACCUUAAAACGAGUAUUCCCUGAGAGCCGUGGAAGACGACCACGUUGAUAGGCCGGGUAUGGAAGUGCUGUAAGGCAUGAAGUUUACCGGUACUAAUAGCUCGAUUGGCUUGAUCGU
rnacentral:rRNA from 1 species